ensembl:lncRNA
AUUGGCCAUUCAUCAAAGACGGCUAGGUAGAUAAACACCCACAUGCCUAGCAUAGCAGCGUUCCAGACGAUACAGACAGACUGCACGUACACAUCGGCGUUCAAGGUAUACUGACAGGGAGGCAAACAAGGUAUGUACAAUCAGUGGUGUAAAGUACUGAAGUAAAAAUACUUUAAACUACUACAGUAGCUUUUUGGGGUAUCUGUACUUUACUUGAAUAUUUAUAUUUUUUGACUACUUUUACUUUUGUACAUUCCAAAAGAAAAUAUUGUAUUUCUUACUCCAUACAUUUUCCCUGACAACCAAAGUACUCAUUACAUUUUGAAUGCAUAGCAGGACAGGAAAAUAGCCAAAUUCACCACUUAUCAAUAGAACAUAUCAUCCCUACUGCCUCUGUUCUGGCAGACUCACUAAACACAAAUUCAUCUUUUGUAAAUAAGGUCUGAGUGUUGGAGUGUGACCCUGGCUAUCCGAAAAAUGUAAAAACAGGAAAAUGGUGCCAUCUGCUUUGCUUAAUAUAAGGAAUUUUAAAUUAUUUAUAUGUUUACUUUUGAUACUUAAGUAUAUUUUAGCAAUUACAUUUACUUUUGAUACUUAAGUAUAUUUAGAACCAAACACUUUUAGACUUUUACUCAAGUAGUAUUUUACUGGCUGAUUUUCACUUUUACUUGAGUCCCACUGAUUAGUAUUUGUAUAUAUGUGUCCUUUGGUGCGUUGAUAAGUGUUGCAAUGUUCGUUGGUGCGUGUGAGUACCUGUGCUGUGUGUUUUGGGCUUUCGUGCCCUUGUGGAUUGAUCAGAUGAUUACGGGUUUCGUCCCGUGUGUUAAUCAUUGUGCGCGUGUGAAUUUAUUCCAGGUACUCCUCGCUCUUUUGUUUGGGUUUCUACCUUGUGUGUUGUGUACGUGUGUGUUUGGUCUUUGUCCCCGUACCUUUACACGGCACACUGUAAUUAGGGGUAUAAUUUUUUUAAAUGAUUCCGCAUUGCUGCGCCUGUCUCCCGAAUCAUUGUUACCAAUGUGACAAGGUACUGUAUCUAUACUUUUACUCAAGUAUGCCAAUUGGAUACUUUUUCCACCACUGUGUACAAUUGGUAUUGGUUUGUCACAUAAUGUUAUACAAAUCACAUGUAGGCUAUCAUCUAAUUUGUAUUAAUGGUUUCUCUAAAACCUUAUAGCACUCAGUCACAGCAGCCAUCUUCUUCCUUCCUGAGCUCUUCGAUGUAGAUUCCAGACGUCUCUACAUUAUGGACAAGAUUUCAUCCUCCCUACACCGCUGAUGAAUAUAACUGCAAACCUGUUCGAUCACCAUUCACUGCAAAAUCAUUCUUGCUAUGGAUACGAAGGAUAUCAACAUAUUAACACGCCAGAGAAAAUAUUGACUGAACUUGGAGCUCUGCUGGGAGUUGACCUAAUAUUUAUAUUUUUGAAUUCUGCUUUGCCACUAAAAUCAUAAUAAACAUUGACUACUAAACUAUUGUGUUAUUGUUAUGCUGAUUCAUAAUAUAAAUAAUGAGGGG